rnacentral:rRNA from 1 species
GAUGAACGCUGGCGGCGUGCCUAAUACAUGCAAGUCGAGCGAACAGAUGAGGGGCUUGCUCCUCUGACGUUAGCGGCGGACGGGUGAGUAACACGUGGAUAACCUACCUAUAAGACUGGGAUAACUUCGGGAAACCGGAGCUAAUACCGGAUAAUAUAUUAAACCGCAUGGUUAAUUAGUGAAAAACGGUUUUGCUGUCACUUAUAGAUGGAUCCGCGCCGCAUUAGCUAGUUGGUAAGGUAACGGCUUACCAAGGCAACGAUGCGUAGCCGACCUGAGAGGGUGAUCGGCCACACUGGAACUGAGACACGGUCCAGACUCCUACGGGAGGCAGCAGUAGGGAAUCUUCCGCAAUGGGCGAAAGCCUGACGGAGCAACGCCGCGUGAGUGAUGAAGGUCUUCGGAUCGUAAAACUCUGUUAUUAGGGAAGAACAAAUGUGUAAGUAACUAUGCACGUCUUGACGGUACCUAAUCAGAAAGCCACGGCUAACUACGUG